rnacentral:rRNA from 1 species
AACGAACGCUGGCGGCAUGCCUAACACAUGCAAGUCGAACGAGACCUUCGGGUCUAGUGGCGCACGGGUGCGUAACGCGUGGGAACCUGCCCUUAGGUUCGGAAUAACUCCCCGAGAGGGGUGCUAAUACCGGUUAAUGUCUUCGGACCAAAGAUUUAUCGCCUUUGGAUGGGCCCGCGUUGGAUUAGCUGGUUGGUAGGGUAAAAGCCUACCAAGGCCACGUUCCAUAGCUGGUCUGUGAGGAUGAUCAGCCACACUGGGACUGAGACACGGCCCAGACUCCUACGGGAGGCAGCAGAGGGGAAUAUUGGACGAGGGGCGAAAGCCUGAUCCAGCAAUGCCGCGUGAGUGAGGAAGGCCUUAGGGUUGUAAAGCUCUUUUACCCGGGAUGAUAAUGACAGUACCGGGAGAAUAAGCCCCGGCUAACUACGUG